rnacentral:tRNA from 1 species
UAAGAGGUUAGUUAAAAUUAAUAAUAUUGAAUUGUCAAAUCAAAGUAAUAAAUAUUACUUCUU